UUCGCCGAGACCUCAAGCCCCGGCAUGCAGCGGGGCUCCUGGGGCCUGUCGGGAAGGGGCCUGGCGCGCGGGGCCCGCCGGGACUGGGGGUGUGCGGCUGCGCAGACUUGGUAACGCGAGAGCGCGCGGGGAGGGUGUGUCACGCCUCCCGAGACUGGGGCUGUGCGGCCUCACGGAGAAACUGAGGCAGGCGCGAAGCGUCGAGUGCGCGCGUGGCCCUGCAGGCAGGCGGAGACCCUGGUGGCUCCCAUACACGUAACAGCACUCACUGCUCUUUGACGUUAGUGAAUAGACCGUAAGCUCCCUGGAGCAGGGACCUUAUCCCAGCGUCUACCGCGGCGCCCGUCACCUAGCUUCCUCCUUGGAGGGACCUCAGAAGUCCCAGGCUUCAUAGUGUCAAGUUCAACAGAAAGAGUAGUUUUCAUCUUUCCACAGUUCUUAGAAAAGUCCUGAGACUGAGUUUUACUGGUUUACUUCCUGAAGCGAGCACCUGGGCCUCACACUCCUGAGGAUGGGGGAGAUCCGGCGCCACCUCCUGGCUGUUUCCAAGGCGGAGAGAAGGAGCCCGGGGCUGCAAAACCUGUCAGAGGAUCCCAGACUGAGGCGGACUCAGGGAGGUUUCCCACGCCUAAGAUUUCAUCCCUAACCAAUCAGCGAUCACCACUCCAAAACCCUUGAAAGCCCCCCCCAACUCCUCAGCGAGAUUGAGUGAUAACUCAAUCUCCAGGGUGGCCGGCCUCGGGUCAUAAACUAUUUCUUUACUGCAAUAAUAAUGAUACAAUAAAAUAAAUUUACAUACAUCUCAAGGAGACAGAGGUAGCGUUUACAAUUUCAGCUUUAUUAAAGGAAGUAGGAAGUGGGAGGGGGUGCCUUAUUCCCUUUCUUUGCACCGGAAAAAAUACAAUUUUUUUCUCUAGAUUUGUGUUUACCAACAACACACACACAUACUCAUAUACACACAUAUGUACAUAUACCCCAUUCACACACAGAUAUACACAAUAUAUGUACACUCAUGAAC
rnacentral:lncRNA from 10 species